rfam:Myotis brandtii contig276381, whole genome shotgun sequence.
AGGCCUAGAGAGAGAGACAGGGUCUGAUCUGCAACCUCCAUGGCAGCUGUUGAUCAGCCAUUGCCUUUCUCUUUAUUUUCC